UGUUUUCCAUCCAAAUAUUUUGGUCACGAAUAUUUUUAUUACCUAAGAAGAUAGCCCAAGUUGUGGAAGCUAUUUGCAGGAGAUUUCUCUGAACAGGGAGUGCAGAUGCCACCAAGAAGUCUCUGAUCGCAUGGGAAAAGUUAUGCUACCCGAAAUCAAGUGAUGGUAUGAUUUUUUAGAUAUUCAUAUAUGGAACAAGGCUGCCAUAGGCAAAUUACUGUGAAACUUAUGCAAAAUAAAGGACAAGCUAUGAGGGGAGUGGAUACACAUUUAUUAUGGGAAAGAAGGGGUAUGGGGUACCAAAGCAAAUCAAGCCUCUUGGAUAGUGCAAAGAAUUUUGAAAGCUCAUAAACAUCUCCCGGCAGUUAGGUAUACUGAGCAACCAUUGACAACUAUAGACAACUACUCCAUUAAAAGAGUUUAUCUGUAGAUGCGACAAGGAACAGAGAAAGUGAGAUGGAGAAAAUUGGUAUGGUCUAACCAUGGUGCACCUAAAUGAUUUUUCAUGCAUUUUUUAGCGCUACACAGGAAGUUAUCUACGAAGGUAAGAUUGGCAAAGUAGGGACUCAUAAAUGAAGUGAUAUGUCCUUUAUGCCAAGAGAAGGGGGAGGAUGUGGAUCACCUAUUUUUUAUGUGCUCAUUUACUGCUGAUAUAUGGAACAGUUUGCUAGUGUCACGAUCUAAUUUCCGAGUCAUGAUGGCACCUACCACAUUUCACCGGUAGGUAAGCCAAUAUCGUAACUCGAAACUAUUGCAAUGGGUUACCUAGGUAAAAACGUCCAACUUGGACCCUAUAUGUGAAAAUAAUAUAUAACAACAACAUUUCACAACUAAGGACAGCAGAUAUUCAAACACUAAUUCCAGGACCUGAUAGUAUUAAUACAAGAGCUUCUAAAAAUUAUGCAAUGUGUUACCACAGUCACCUAUUCAGUGAUCCUAUUCAGUGAUAAUCAAUGAGAAAGCUACUAAGCCAUUUCAUGCAAGGAGAAGGGUUCGAUAAGGAGAUCCCCUUUCCCCUUAUCUGUUUGUAUUAUCCAUGGACUACUUUACAAGAAUAUUGAAAAGACUGCAUACUAAUACAGAAUUCCACUACCACCCCAGAUGUAAACCACAAAGAAUUAUUCAACUAAGUUUUGCUGAUGAUUUACUCUUGUUUUGCAGAGGCAAUUUAAGAUCAAUUAGAUGUUUAUACCAAUGCUUGAAGAUGUUUUCACAAGCAUCGGAACUAGAGUCAAAUGUGGAUAAGAGCAGUGUCUAUUUUGGUGGUGUAUCACACGCUAUACAAGAGCAAAUUCUGCAGGAACUACAUUUCCAGAAGGGCGAUCUUCCAUUUAAGUAUCUUGGAGUCCCUCUGAUUACUAAGAGAUUGUCCCUUGUACAAUGCAAGCCUUUGACUGGCAAGUUGUUAGGGAGAAUUACAAGCUGGACAACUAGAUUUUUGUCAUAUGCUGGAAGAGUGCAACUAGUUAAAAGUGUCCUGUUUUCCAUCCAAAUAUUUUGGUCACGAAUAUUUUUAUUACCUAAGAAGAUAGCCCAAGUUGUGGAAGCUAUUUGCAGGAGAUUUCUCUGAACAGGGAGUGCAGAUGCCACCAAGAAGUCUCUGAUCGCAUGGGAAAAGUUAUGCUACCCGAAAUCAAGUGAUGGUAUGAUUUUUUAGAUAUUCAUAUAUGGAACAAGGCUGCCAUAGGCAAAUUACUG
rnacentral:lncRNA from 1 species